GCCUCCACUUUCACUUUCCCUUCCGCUGUAGCUUGCUCUCCUCCCUUCCCCACUGUCUGAGGCCACCCCGGAGGGGAGAGAGUGUGGCUGUAAUCCUGGGCGCCAGGGGCGCUCCCAGCAGCGAAAAGUGGGGGGCUAAACAGCGCCCGGCUGUGCGGCGUCACUCUCAUCCCCGCCCCAGGCCUGUCCCGUUUCCUCUGUCGCGCGUUGUGGGCUUGGCUCUGUGCCGCCUGCCCUUUCACCUCCCACGCGAGGUCCCGGCCGCUUCCCAUACCCGGUCCCGGUGCUUGGGAUGUUACCCGGUUGCCGCUGGGGACACCAAGGCACAAAGAGGGCCCGGGCCGCGUUGGAGGCCACCGGUGGGGGCUGAGUUGCUUGUGGUCGUCCGCCCUCUGCCAGGUGACCCAGGGAUAGCAUUUCUCCGGAGCUGCUGCCCCUGCUCGGGGGGAUGGGCGCAACCAAGCCAGAUGGACGAGAAGACCAAGAAAGCUGAGGAGAUGGCCCUGAGACUCAGCCGGGCAGUGGCAGGUGGGGAUGAAAAGGUGGCAGUGCAGUGUGCCAUCUGGCUGGCAGAGCAACGGGUGCCCCUGAGUGUGCGACUAAAGCCCGAGGUCUCCCCAACACAGGACAUCAGGCUGUGGGUGAGCGUGGAGGAUGCUCAGAUGUACACGGUCAGCAUCUGGCUCACCGUGCGCCCUGACAUGACCGUGGCUUCCCUCAAGGACAUGGUAUUCCUGGACUACGGCUUUCCGCCCGUCCUGCAGCAGUGGGUGAUUGGGCAGCGGCUGGCCCGGGACCAAGAGACCCUGCACUCCCACGGGGUGCGGCGGAAUGGGGACAGUGCCUACCUCUAUCUGCUGUCAGCCUGCAACACCUCACUGAACCCUCAGGAGCUGCAGCGGGAGAGGCAGCUGCGGAUGCUGGAAGAUCUGGGCUUCAAGGACCUCACGCUGCAGCCCCGGGGCCCCCUGGAGCCUGGCCCCACGAAGCCCGGAGUCCCCCAGGAGGCGGGGCGGGGCCAGCCCGACGCCACGCCCGAACCCCCGCCGGUGGGCUGGCAGUGCCCCGGCUGCACCUUCAUUAACAAGCCCACGAGACCCGGCUGCGAGAUGUGCUGCCGGGCGCGGCCUGAGGCCUACCAGGUCCCUGCCUCGUACCAGCCCGACGAGGAGGAGAGAGCGCGCCUGGCGGGCGAGGAGGAGGCGCUGCGCCAGUACCAGCAGCGGAAGCAGCAGCAGCAGGAGGGGAACUACCUGCAGCACGUCCAGCUGGAUCAGAGGAGCCUGGUGCUGAACACCGAGCCCACCGAGUGCCCCGUGUGCUACUUGGUGCUGGCGCCCGGCGAUGCCGUGGUGCUGCGUGAGUGUCUGCACGCCUUCUGCAGGGAGUGUCUGCAGGGCACCAUCCGCAACAGCCAGGAGGCCGAGGUCUCCUGCCCCUUCAUUGACAACACCUACUCGUGCUCAGGCAAGCUGCUGGAGAGAGAGAUCCGGGCGCUGCUGCCCCCCGAGGAUUACCAGCGGUUUCUGGACCUGGGUGUCUCCAUCGCGGAAAACCGCAGCGCCUUCAGCUACCACUGCAAGACCCCGGACUGCAAGGGAUGGUGCUUCUUUGAGGAUGAUGUCAACGAGUUUACCUGCCCGGUGUGCUUCCACGUCAACUGCCUGCUCUGUAAGGCCAUCCACGAGCAGAUGAACUGCAAGGAGUACCAGGAUGACCUGGCCCUGCGGGCUCAGAACGACGUGGCCGCCCGGCAGACAACGGAGAUGCUCAGGUCGAUGCUGCAGCAGGGCGAGGCCAUGCACUGCCCGCAGUGCCGGAUCGUGGUGCAGAAGAAGGACGGCUGUGACUGGAUCCGCUGCACUGUGUGCCACACGGAAAUCUGCUGGGUCACCAAGGGCCCGCGCUGGGGACCCGGGGAGACUGUCUUGUGAGCUGUGAAAGUGGUACGAAAUCCAAGUGUCCUGUCCCUAAGUAGCGUGUUCUGCGAGCACAGCCCGGUACAUCCGUUGUGUCCUGUCUGCGGCCGCAUUCGGCCCACGAAGGCCGAGACCAUAUGGCCCCAGAAGCCUGAAGGAACCGGCCCUUUACGGAAAAAGGGCCCAGGAGACACCAGUGGGGGCUGCCGUUGCCGGGUGAAUGGGAUUCCUUGUCACCCCAGCUGUCAGAACUGCCACUAGCUGAGGAUGGCCUGGUCCCCACGCUGACAGCCCCACAUCCCCAUGCUGCUGUGGGACAGGGCUGGUGCUUUGGCUCUGGUUUCUCCCCCGGGAGAUGCCUUUGCGUGUGGCUGAGACAGGCCUUGUAGAGACCAAGGCCCCCGAGCUGUGCGGAUGGCUUUGUUUUCAAGUGGUGUUGCAGGGGGCCCUAAGCUUGCGGUCGGUGUUGUUCAUGGUUGCAUCUGCCCCAGGGCCUUUGCCCUUCCUCUGGGGCUUGCCGGCCAGACCUCUCAGCUCUUCUCUGCGGCCCUUCCCUCUGCCUGACCCAGACUUAAACACAGCCCUGCUGGAUGGAGCCUCUGAGAGCCCCGUGUGAGUCCAUGCUCUCCCCCUUCCACCGCCCUCGUCUGCUGAAUGCUGAGCACCCAGAGCCCACCGCUUCUCCAUCGGCUCUCUGGGGCUGACUCACCUCUGUCUUUGCUGUCGGAGGCCUGCGGUUUGUUAGACAGCUGCUGCUAAGCCCAUUCGGAGCCAGGGGGAGACCUGGCGGUGUCUAAAGCACAGCGUAUCAGGUUCAGCUUCCAUGUCUCCCUCUUUGCUGCCUGUGUAAGCUAAUUAAAAUGGCUUUCCAGGAAA